rnacentral:lncRNA from 1 species
UGACACUGUCGUCAAUAGUGCGGAGCGUCAUUUAUACCUGCCGCUGACGAGCUACUUCACUUGGACGCCCUGUUGGGGUAUCCAUCCCGGGCUUCUCUAUCUCCACCAAAAUUUGUGGUUCAUAAUCAUACCGAAGAAACUCAAAUUGGGAGAGAUCCUUCCUGACGGAGGGCUAUGAACCACAAAACAUCGGACUUUGGGGCUUGCAGGAUUAAAGGGAAGGAUCAGGUGGAUCAGAACGCGCCAGAACAGCCGGUAAGAUGUACGCCUCUCAGACGCGUUAUCCGUUCCAGUUAACAUCCUGCCGAAUAGUCUUAAUAUCAUUUCUCUUUGACAAACGGUACAAUUGUCUCCGUGGUAGCAGAAGGUGCAACACCGAAUAAUGUAACGAUCAAACCAUCUGGUAAUUGGCUAAUUCCUCGUUUCAUCUUGUUCAUCUGCUAAAAAUGGCUACAUGAUUUCAUCCGAUAUGUGUUUGGACCUCACGGGAGCGCCUUAAACUGGGUUUCAGUUGCAGGGUAUCUAUUGGGAUAAGCUCCUCCUGUGUGGUAAAACUUUUCUGGAAAAAGGAAGCACGACAAGAAACUCGAGAUUACCAUGGCGAACUGGUCCUUGUCGACGAGGCGGUUUUCGUUCAUCCUUGAAGUCCGGUGCCUUCUAUCUCUGUCGGUUAAAAGAGCCAUCUUUGUAAUUCUUCGCUUGAAUAUGAUUUCUGGGUUUCGUUGACCGCUUCGUACCAGUGCCCAGCGGGCUCAUAAGAACAAUAAAAGGCGUCACCCAUGAAGUCAUCCCCCCCNNNNN